CAAGUAUGAAAGACGGUUGCGAGUCUAUAAGACUCGAGGAAAGUCCGAGCUCCAUAGGGCAGGAUGCCAGAUAACGUCUGGCGAGGGUAACCUUAGGGAAAGUGCCAUAGAAAAGGAAACCGCCACGUAAGUGGUAAGGGUGGAAAGGUGAGGUAAGAGCUCACCAGCAGUCUGGUAACAGGCUGGCUCGGUAAACCCCAUCCGGAGCAAGACCGAAUAGGGAAGGGUUAAGGGUGGUCCCGCCUACCUUCCGGGUUGUGUCGCUCGAGCG
rnacentral:RNase_P_RNA from 1 species